rnacentral:tRNA from 3 species
CGGGUCGUAGGGUGAGCUUGAGGUGCUCGCGCGAGGCGUCGGGGCGCAGGUUCAAAUCCUGUCGUCCCGA